rnacentral:rRNA from 1 species
GACGAAGGGGGCUAGCGUUGUUCGGAAUUACUGGGCGUAAAGCGCGUGUAGGCGGUGCCAAAGUUGGGUGUGAAAGCCUUGAGCUCAACUCAAGAAUGGCACUCGAUACUUGGUGGCUAGAGGACCGGAGAGGAUAGUGGAAUUCCCAGUGUAGUGGUGAAAUACGUAGAGAUUGGGAAGAACACCAGUGGCGAAGGCGGCUAUCUGGACGGUUUCUGACGCUAAGACGCGAAAGCGUGGGGAGCAAACAGG